ACACAAUUUGCGGCGGCUGGCUUGACCGCAGUGAAUUUACUUACGUCAACUGGCUUUCCCAAAACAGCCGCAGCAAAUGAGCACAGCUUUUUCAGAAACUCUUCGGAGAAUGAGCUUGCUGGUAAGUUGCUCUGCAAGUCAACAAAUGGCAUAUUUUUUCCGUGUGUGGGAAGCGACGGGUAUCAGACGUCCUCUCCUCUUGAGUACUAGCGUUCUUAUUGGCAGUGUGGCAAUAGCCAUGUAGCAUUAUGUGCCAUAGUUGUCCCAUUGAGCGCUGAAUGAUACGUCGACCUCGCCUCCAUAUCGGAUGUGGCAAAGCGGAGCUCAAUUAUUUGCUGCUUGGAGAUGUGCCAAACCUUAUGUGAUGACCCUUUCACAGGUAAGACCGAACGAUGACUUGAUCGAUUUUGGCUUUUGGAAAUUGAAUUUGCUGACUUUGUAGCUGAUACCGAUGAGGACAUUUAAACUCGUUGUUUCGAUAAGUUGCAGUAACACUGUGGCGAACGUGUAUGCUCAGGUAACCAAGAUUGCUAUUGGAUGCCCGGAUGCUACUUAUUCUGUCGCCCCCUUAUCAGGUCAGGGUACUGGAAUGUUCUUGUCCGUGUUUGAAACGCCAUGCGUAGCUCCGUAUCCAGGUAGUUUAAUUGAACUUGAACUAAGUUACAUCUCGUAUUUGUUGAUAAUGUAACCCUCGUCUUUGCCGCUGCUCUUGCACGCUUUCUCCGGACGCUGUGUUGUCCUGUAUCUACCAUAAAGUGUCCUGACCUUGCCCCACCAGUAUCGCUCUCUUCGCAGUGAUCGGCACCUGUCGCCGAUCAGCCUGCAUUAAAGCCUGCCAGGUGGCCGAAAUCCUCCCUCCUGCGGUACAACAGCUCUCCACUUGCACUAAGUCUGAUCAAGCCAGUUUGCUACUGAGACCAACAAAAGGAGGACUUGCAUUGUAAAAGCGCACCCGACUGUCAAACUCCUGAAGUUUGCAGAUGACACCACUGUCAUCGGCCUCAUCGAGGACGGUGACGAGUCUGCAUAUCGACAGGAAGCGGAGCGGCGGGAGCUGCGGUGCGGCCGACGCAACCUGGAGCUGAACACGCUCAACACUGUAGAGAUGAUCGUGGACUUCAGGAGGCAUCCUUCGCCACAGCUGCCCCUCACGUUGUCCAGUUGCCUCGUGUCAACCGUCGAGACCUUCAAGUUUCCCUGGGAAUUACAGUCUCUCAGGACCUGAAGUGGGCGACCAACAUCAACUCCGUCCUCAAAAAGGCCCAGCAGAGGAUGUACUUCCUGCGGCUUCUGAGAAAGCACGGCCUGCCACCGGAGCUGCUGAGGCAAGUUCUACACAGCGGUCAUCGAAUCGGUCCUGUGUUCUUCCAUCACAGUCUGGUUUGGUGCUGCUACAAAAAAGGACAAACUCCGACUGCAACGGACAAUCAAAACUGCUGAAAGGAUUGUCGGUACCCCCCUACCCACCCUUGAGGACAGAACCAAGACAAGAGCGUGCAAAAAUCCUCUUGGACCCUCCGCACCCCGGUCACCAGCUCUACCAGCUCCUUCCCUCAGGGAGGCGCGACCGAUCAAUGCAAACUAGAACUAGUAGACAUUCCAACAGCUUCUUCCCUCUUGCCAUCAACUUCUUAAACACCUAACCUACAAGUCCAUUACAACAUGCUGGCAAUUUUUUGACAUGAGUUCGUUGUCACUUUUCUGUGGGGCCAAUUAUGUAUUACUCGUGCACUCACUGUAGUAGUCUCGCCACGCUGCUCUAUUUGCAUAUCUGUUGUUGACCAAUACUGGCCACUCAUGCCAGAGUAGCAUCUGCUCCAUUUGCACACAGAUUGAGGAGUAUCUGCAACAUUUGCACAAUCAACAUUGUCCCAGAUUAUCGCACUCCUCGGUUGAAGUCUCGGCGCCCUUUGCACAAUGUUCAUUGCACCGGACUAUAUUGCAAUAUGAGUCAUUGAAACUGCUCUAAGUGCUAGAGGACUUUUUUUUUUU